AGUGAACGCUGGCGGUAGGCCUAACACAUGCAAGUCGAACGGCAGCACAGAGGAGCUUGCUCCUUGGGUGGCGAGUGGCGGACGGGUGAGGAAUACAUCGGAAUCUACUCUGUCGUGGGGGAUAACGUAGGGAAACUUACGCUAAUACCGCAUACGACCUACGGGUGAAAGCAGGGGAUCUUCGGACCUUGCGCGAUUGAAUGAGCCGAUGUCGGAUUAGCUAGUUGGCGGGGUAAAGGCCCACCAAGGCGACGAUCCGUAGCUGGUCUGAAAGGAUGAUCAGCCACACUGGAACUGAGACACGGUCCAGACUCCUACGGGAGGCAGCAGUGGGGAAUAUUGGACAAUGGGCGCAAGCCUGAUCCAGCCAUCCCGCGUGGGUGAAGAAGGCCUUCGGGUUGUAAAGCCCUUUUGUUGGGAAAGAAAUCCAUCUGGUUAAUACCCGGGUGGGAUGACGGUACCCAAAGAAUAAGCACCGGCUAACUUCGUGCCAGCAGCCGCCGUAA
rnacentral:rRNA from 1 species